CCAAACGCUUUCCCACCUCUUUUGACCCUCCCCGCCUCCCGUACGCGUCACACGGGCGCGCCGCUGCGUGACGUCACGAGCGCGCCGGGCGGUGUUGCCAUGGAGAUGGCGGGCGGCGAGGAGGAGGCGGCGGACGAAUGGCUGAUCCAGUCACUGCGAAUGUACGAGGAGCUUCACACCUUCGAGCUCCAGGCGCCCACCCGCGUCAUCGAAUGGGCCCGGGGGAACCGUGUCUGUGUAGCCGGGUAUGAGGACUCCGGUGGGAACGAGAUCCUGCAGCUGCUCCCGCCGCCAACGCUGCAGGCGAAGGAGACACAGGGCCUGUGUCCAGAGAGAGAUUUCAAGGUGGAAUGCGGUGCAUUUUCAAACCGCCCGGUGUACGGCCUGAAACACGUUCCGGACACCAGCUUGCUGGUGACGAGCGGCCCCCCCGACAGCUCCCUGCGGGUCUGGCAGGUGUCAGCGGAGGAUUCGGAUGUCAUUAAACCCGUCGGUGCCAUCGCUGCAGAAAACGACGCUGGCCAACCUUGGGCUAAAAUCGCAACGAUUUCGGCCAAAGCCCCGUGGGUCCUUCACGGCUCGAGACUCGACAGCGUCCGAGUUACGGAGGUUGAAUCGAGGAAAAACGUCUACACAGCAGCAUCCAGAACCAGCGAGGAGCUCAGCGACGUGGCGUUCCUGGACAGGAACACGGCGCUGCUGUGCUGUGCCGAGGGCCAGCUCUCCCUGGCCGACGUUCGGCAGGCUCAGGCUCCCUUGGAGGCCGCGUCCGUGCCCUGGGCGCCGUGUGGCGAGCGCUGGCGCAUGGGGGUCGCAGCUCAGGGCUCCGAUCCCGGCUCCCGGCCCGUCGCCCGUGUCUCGAGCGGGGGGCACCUCAGCCUGACGGACGUAAGGAAAACCUCGGAGUCCUUGGCUUGGGUGAAAUGCCGAUUUCCUCGUCCCAGCUCGGGCGCGGAGUUCCUGCGCGUCUCCUGGGCUCCUGCGCUGCAGGGCUGCCUUGCUGUCUCAGGUUUCGAUGGCACCGUGCACGUGUACGACACGCAGCGCUGGGACAGCUCCGGCCGGGAAGCCGAGCCGAUAUUUAUCCACAAAGGCCACGCGUUGGGCGGAGCGGACAGCGGCGACGGCCCGUCCCUGGUGACAACGCACGCGUGGCACCCGCAGAAACCCAGAACCGUAUUGUCAGCGGCGAGCGACGGUUCCCUGCACGUCUGGGAGUGGGUUCGGCCCUGAGGGAAGCGUGGGCCCCGAGCGCCGAGGGGAAGGACGCGCGCCCCGCGGGGUGGGGACAUCGCGUCACUCGUGUGCGUGUCACGAGGAGCCGCCACCGCUCAGGAAGUCGCAGCCUUGCAAAAAGGAACAGGAACGACAUUUUCAGCCCCGGCCUGUUGGCAGCUUUACCCUCCCCCAACUGCAGAGCGCCCGCUCGAGAAAAAAGGACCUUGGUAUCUUUUGGCUCUUUUCCCACCAGCCGAAAGUUUAAAUUUGAUCAAGCUAAUGUGAUUUCCUGGGCCCGAGGAAAGCAGGCGAUGACUCCUGCAACGCCUACGCUGUUACCAAGCACCUCAAGGCCGUUCUUGUGAGGUAAUCCCACCACCCUCUGGCCACCGUUUUGAGCCCUGAUGUGACUCUGUUGCCCUUGGUGCCACCAUUUUGUGUCUGAGGCGAUUUUGCUGCCCCUGGUGCCGCCAUUUUGUGUCUGAGUUCAAAGCUCACAGGCUGCAAACACACCCAUUGGGAUGACACAAGCCAAACUGGCAUCUUCGGUGGCCAAACAGCCAGAACACGGAAACAUCACAGAUAACGGUGGAGAAACCGAAGGAGCAAGGUACCCGUGACCAAGUACAAAGAAACCACUUUACAAAAAAAUAGAAAGGAAAAAAGAAAGAAAAAUAAAAUUUAAAAGUACCACGUUGCCCAA